rnacentral:tRNA from 1 species
GCCGGAAUGGCGGAAUUGGUAGACGCGCGCGACUCAAAAUCGCGUUUCUGCAAAGAAGUGAGGGUUCGAUUCCCUCUUUCGGUACCA